UGUAGUCUCGCACAGAUGCAUAUCAAUAAGCGGAGGAAAAGAAACUAACAAGGAUUCCCUUAGGUAACGGCGAGUGAAGCGGGAAGAGCUCAAAUUUGAAAUCUUGAAAGGUCACCUUUCACGAAUUGUAGUUUAAAGAAGUGUUUUCUGUUACGAUCGUAAUAUAAGUUCUUUGGAAUAGGACAUCACAGAGGGUGAGAAUCCCGUCUAUGAUUGCGAUUUGUAGCUUUGUGAUACACUUUCAAAGAGUCGGGUUGUUUGGGAAUGCAGCCCAAAACGGGAGGUAAAUCUCUUCUAAGGCUGAAUAUUGGCGAGAGACCGAUAGCGAACAAGUACCGUGAGGGAAAGAUGAAAAGAACUUUGAAAAGAGAGUUAAACUAGUACGUGAAAUUGUCAAAAGGGAAGCGUUUAACACCAGUGUUGUUUUCUCGAAAAUCAAUUAAAAAGAGUUAGAUUUUGUUGUGUAUUGACCUUAACAGCUUGCAUUUCAAUUUUCUUGCUUUUUUUAAUGCACUUUUCGUUUAACAAGUCAACAUCAGUUUCUUUUGUUGUAAAAAGGUCAUUGGAAGGUGGCUUUCUUUUCGGAGAAAGUGUUUAUAGCCUUUGACUCCUGCAAUCGGAGAGACUGAGGUCUGCAGCGUAGAUCCUUCGGGGUUAGAUACAUUUGUGCUAAGUUAUAGCUUUUUAUAGACAACUUGUUGACUAUGAUUAGUCUUGUAGCUUACUCGCUUAUGCUAUUUUACCUACGCUUAGGAUGUUGAAGAUGUAGCACAUCAU
rnacentral:rRNA from 1 species